GGUUUGCUGGGGGCUUUCCGGCCUUUGGCCACAGACUGAAGGCUGCAUCGUCAGCUUCCCUACCUUUGAAGAUUUUGGACUUUGACUGAGUCACUAUUGGCUUCUUUCUUCCUCAGCUUGCAGACGGCCUAUCAUGGGACUUCACCUUGUGAUCAAUUUCAUUCCUGCAGAAACCACAAUAAAGGGACGUGCCCUCAGUUGCCCUGUCUCCCUCUGCCUCAUGACUGACCGCGGUGCAUGACCUGAGUGGCCUUGUGUGGCCUGCUGCUUUCUCCCCAGUGAACUGUGAAUUGUUGUUUUGGGGUGAGAUAAACAUUUAAAUUGGUGAACUUUGAGAGGAAAAUUAGAAGACAAGUAUCCUCAUUUCCACCUGGAUCCAGUCUUUCUUCCUUAUUACUUUUAUUAACAAUAUCAGUUAAGGUUUAUAUGGAUGUCUUGCUUUGGCCUGUACAAAAAACUACUUUGUAUAUGCCUUAUUUUAUUAAUUUUGCUUCUGAAUUUCAUCAAAUUCUCUGAUCAUAACUCUAUAUUCUUGUAAGGAAUGCUCAGAAUUAUACUAUUUCACUCCAAAUUUUAUUAUUAUUGAGACGAAACUGGGUAUAGAAAGUUGUGGGACCAGUUUGUAAUUUAUUGCUUUAAAAUUUGGUCAAGCCACUCAAAUUCUCUAGCUGUACCUAUGAAAUAGCUUUAAUAUUUCAAUCCCCUGCAUUUUCUUUGAAUAAUAUGGAGUUUGAAUUGAAGUGGUCCUGAAUUUGAGUGCUGCAUAUGCUACUUUUGAGAUAUGUGAUCUUGAGCAAGUUGCUUAAUCACAUUAAACCUCAAUUCUCUCAUCUUUAAAAUAGAAAAAAUAAUAGCUACUUUACAGUGUUGAGAAAAGAAUAAGAUGAAACAGUUUAUUAAAAACAUAGAAGAGUGCUUAAGACAUAAUAAAGUCUACAUAAAUUGUGCCUAUUGUUAUUACUAAUAAAAAAAAAAGAAAUUCUACGUGUCAGGAAUUUGAACAAAUUACAGCUGGAUUUGCAUAUUUCUUCCACAAGAUGUAUGUGGUCCCAUCUGAUAAUAGGGAAUUGGUUGGUAACUGGAAUCUUCUUGGAAACCUCUUAAAUCACAGAUCUUGCACUUGUACUGGGAUAAUCUGGAGUGUGUGCUCCUCUGAGUUUGUUGACCAAAUCACCUACAGGUGAACUCUCCAUAUAUGUAUUUUCCUAGUCAAUUCCUACACUGACCUCAAGCAAACACUGAUCAGCUUUCUGUCAUAAUAGAUGCGAUUUACUUUUUUAGAAUUUAAUAAAACUCAAAUUAU
rnacentral:lncRNA from 10 species